CCUACGGGAGGCAGCAGUGGGGAAUAUUGGGCAAUGGGCGAAAGCCUGACCCAGCAACGCCGCGUGAAGGAAGAAGGCUUUCGGGUCGUAAACUUCUUUUGACAGGGAAGAGCAGAAGACGGUACCGGUCUAAUAAGCCACGGCUAACUACGUGCCAGCAGCCGCGGUAAUACGUAGGUGGCAAGCGUUGUCCGGAUUUACUGGGUGUAAAGGGCGUGUAGCCGGGCUGACAAGUCAGAUGUGAAAUCCGGGGGCUCAACCCCCGAACUGCAUUUGAAACUGUUGGUCUGGAGUAUCGGAGAGGCAGGCGGAAUUCCUAGUGUAGCGGUGAAAUGCGUAGAUAUUAGGAGGAACACCAGUGGCGAAGGCGGCCUGCUGGACGACAACUGACGGUGAGGCGCGAAAGCGUGGGGAGCAAACAGGAUUAGAUACCCCGGUAGUC
rnacentral:rRNA from 1 species